rnacentral:lncRNA from 1 species
UGACGUGGUAAGGUCGCUCAUGUUUUUCAAAGCGUGUGGGUCUGCUCUGUAAGGUUAAGAGUGUUUUAUUUUGUAAGCUGUCAUUUAUGUUUAGUCAGCUGUGCUCUGUAGCACUUGAUAAAUGAUAAAAAGUGAGUGGUCAUUUACACAGAGCGGCUCGCACUUUAUAACAUUUAACACUGGUGAUAAGGCAUUGCUAUAACAAUGAAUGUUCAAAGAUCUCUUCUAAGUCAAGUUGAAUAUAGAGUCAACUCUGCUGCUUGAGUAGUUGUGUGAAGGUGAUAUUUUGUCUCAUGAUAUCGUUCAGCAGAAUUAAAGCAUUUGAAGCUAUCCUAGGGCCUGUUUUUGCUUCAGUGGGCCAUAAUGUUUCAGUCAAUGUGCAUUUCUUUCAGCUUGCCUUUGAAGCAGAAAUAAGGUUUAGAGACGCAGUGGUGGUUAUGGAGGCCAAGCUAAGCAAAAUGCAAGAGAUUUUGGAACGGGGAAGUCUCAUGGGACUUGAAGAAUUUGCUCGACCCAAGAAGGCCGAUCUGCGGUUUUUACUACAGCACAAGAACUUGGCAACAGGUCCCCACCAGGCCCAUGCAUUUUGAAAGAGAAUGGCAACUUCAAGAUUGCCUGCAAGGAAAACUUGUGGCAUCACCACCUGCAUCAUCACCUGAGAAGGCAGUCAUCCUCCUGUUGACUGUAUAUUUUAUUUUAAACCUGUCAUACCCAUAAGCUUUUGGACAGUUUUUGGGACUUGUGCAGACAGUUGUUGUAAAGGAUAUCACUUGUAUUUUUCAAGGCUCAGUUUGGUUAUUCAAAGAUUUCUCACUUGUUUUGCAUAGUCUCUUACUUGUAUAUUUCGCUGUUACCUUGUUGACUUUUUAAAAUGUGUAACAUUCUUCCAGAUAUAUUUGGGGCAUUAUAUUUUAUUAACAUAUGCACUUGCUUUCAUGGUAGUGUUUGGGAUGAGUUAUCCCAAACUACACAAUGCUGGGUCAAGUAACCCGCCUGGAGUGGGAGGCUUUUUCAGGGGC